rnacentral:rRNA from 1 species
AGCGAACGCUGGCGGCAGGCCUAACACAUGCAAGUCGAACGGCAGCACAGUAAGAGCUUGCUCUUACGGGUGGCGAGUGGCGGACGGGUGAGGAAUACAUCGGAAUCUACUUUUUCGGGGGGGAUAACGUAGGGAAACUUACGCUAAUACCGCAUACGACCUACGGGUGAAUGCAGGGGAUCUUCGGACCUUGCGCGAUUGAAGGAGCCGAUGUGGGAUUUGCUAGUUGGGGGGGUAAAGGCCCACCAAGGCGACGAUCCGUAGCUGGUCUGAGAGGAUGGUCGGCAACACUGGAACUGGACCACGGUCAAGACUCCUACGGGAGGCAGCAGAGGGGAAUAUUGGACAAUGGGGGCAAGCCUGAUCCAGCCAUACCGCGUGGGUGAAGAAGGCCUUCGGGUUGUAAAGCCCUUUUGUUGGGAAAGAAGAGCAGCAGGUUGAUACGCCGCUGUUCUGACGGUACUCAAAGAAUAAGCACCGGCUAACUUCGUG